AGAAUCUGAUGGGUCACCAAAAAUGGUGUAACACUGUCGACUUUUUACCGUUGUUGCUUAAAUGUUCAUUUACUUUGUCAAACUUCAUUGCAUGUCUCAGUCAAAAUGCUGGUCCAGGUGAAGUACAGCCAACAGCAGAAGUAUGUAAAGUUGGACGACGAUGAAGGACUGUUUGACUUUCUGCAAUUCCAUGAAAAGGGUUAGUAUGGCUUACAAAAAAGGUUUUAAACCACAUCCAUGUUCUUUUUAAAGCUCUUUACAUGCCUUUAUCAGACUCUUAUACUGUAAAUGGGUGUACAUUGCUAAACAUUUUCGGUUCUGCUAUGUGUGCUUCAUGAAGUGUAAAGUAUAAUAUACACCAAAACAGUCAAUAAAAAAAAGGCAAUCAGCAAUUUUUAAAUUUGGACUUGGAAGGGAAUGGGUUUUGUGAGGGACAAAUGCUCUAUGUCUAUUUAAUGAUUAUACAGUGUUGGAUGUAUGUAUUUAACAUGAACAGUUAUUGGCUGUGAGGCAAGAAACAGUGCGGACUUCAAAAGCACAUUCAGUUUGACCUUAUCUAUUCCAGUCAUGGAGAGAUUUGCCCUGCCACCUGAUGCAAAUGUUAUAUACAAGGAUGCAACAGGGACAGAAGUUGAUGCAGAAAUAUUCAGCGACCUCGCUGGACAAGGCAAUGUGGUCCUGACAGUUUUCUCAGAUCAGGGUGAGAUAUCAAGGCAGGUAUAAUAAAGCACUCUACACCUUAGUAUAUCAUUUAAUAAUUUAAAUGUUCUCUAUUGCUUUAGAAUUCUCUGAUUUCUCCUUGUCUUCUGAGACGUCUGACUCAAGCUUCAGCUCAAGUGCAUCAACUACAAUCCUAGAUGUUCCUAACAAGAGACAAAGAAUUGAGGAUACACGUGAUGCUGUGUCUGCUAAACAGUUGAUAGAAGCUGUGCUAAGAGGCAAGUCCGGAGGUGAAGAAGUACUACAGGAGUACCAAACAACAGAAACCCUAACAGAUGCUGCAAGAAGACAAAUGGUUAAUAUCCUGGUGGCUCACAUGAUUGACAAUCAUGGGCACUGCCCCACUAAAACAAUCAGAAGAUUAUGCACGUGGGAUAGUGAUGCUGUUCCCUUCCCUUAAGGAUCCAUACUCCAAGAAGGGCUAUGUAAUAGGCAUUAUUAUUGUUUAAACUUCCAUGUCAUGUUGUGACCCAAAGCUGUGUGGAUGACAUUGAUAUUUAAAUUCCGUGAGAUUUCUCAUGAGCCUGGUAUUACAACACAUUUCUUUUUUUCAUUUCAGGAACACUUCUAUGAUGCUGCAAGCAGCACGGGAUACAUUUCUUGGCGUCUGAAAACAGUCCAGAGGAAGAUUCGUCAAGGAUCUGCACAGCCACCAAAUAGCCCAAUUGACUUUUCUCCAGGAGGCCCAAAUUGCCAAAGGACUGUUAAUGUUGAAGGGCAGCUUGAUGCCUACGACCAAGAAAUGGCCUCCCUGUUGUUGCUGUUACAUCUCCUUCCACCACCUCCAGGGGGACUGAAGUCUCCAAAAAUGAGUGCAUGUGAUGCAGUUGAAAGACUUGUUGUCUUUCAUAAGUCAUGCUGCAGUUUGGAGGAGCAUCUCCGCAACCAGCAGGGUCGGCAGCCGUACCUCCUCGCUGUUGGGCGUCAGAAGAGCAAGAUUGACAGCUUCUACAUCACCAUGGAUAAGCGUCUCAUCCCAUGCAAGGCAAACCGCUCCCUCGGGGCAUGUGAUGAACUUUUCAAAGCACAUUUUGUGUUUAAUUUGUCUUACGAUGUGGCACUUGUGAAUUUUUAUACAUUCCUGCAGACAACAGUGUAUAAGAUUGAUGUGGGGAAAAUGAAGGAGUCACCCAGAGUUAAAGACUUGAGAGCAAGACUGCUUAACCAGCCAGUAGCAUUCUCACCCUGUGAGUAAGAAGCUAUAACAAUGCUGACCUGUUUCAUGUGUCAGAAAAAUUAUCCCAGCAGUCAGCAGUUGAUUUCACAUUUCAGAGUUGAACAUGGUUACUAUCCUGGACCCAAGUUCAAAUUGUUUUGUUCUCAGCAAGGCUGUAGGCAUCAGUUCCUAACAUAUGCAGGUUUUCGAAAGCACCUUAAUAGUGUUCAUAGCAUUUUUCAGCAAACUCAAACUUCAACUGUUGCAUGUUCAUCUAGUGAGUCAGUUGCAACUUCAUCUCAGGCACAUACUUUGGAGGACCAAUUUAUUCCACAAAAUCAAUGUAGUUCUUCCAGUAUUUCUUCUGAGGCCAAUGAUUCAGGACUUACUAAAGAUCCAACUAAAGAAAUGUGUGCAUCCAUCGUGGCCAAAUUACAGGGGAGUGGGAUAUCCAACAGUUUGGUAUUCUCAAUUGUAGGAGAUUUGGAAGAACUAACGAGUGAACUUCGCUCACAAGCAAAGCAUACAGCUAUUUCUGCUUUACCUAUAACUGACCCCAACAUAUCUGUGAUAAAUGAAUCUUUUGAAGAUUAUGAAAAUCCGUUUUCAAAUCUGAACACAGAAUGGAAACAAAAUAAAUACUUCCACCAAAAAUGGGGAGUUGUUGAGCCAGUAGAAAUAACACUGGGAGUGAGAUAUGACAACAGGCGAAAUCAGAAAUCCGGUACUUAUGAUCAAGUACCUGUGAAGGAUACUUUUAUCUAUGUGCCAAUUUUAGAAACAUUGAAGUUCAUGUGCAGAAAUCCAGACAUUUGUGUUUUGCUAAAGAAGGAGUGUAGAUCAGAGCCUGACACUUAUACUGACUUUUUUGAUGGAAGUUAUUUUAAAACCCACCCUUUGUUUACAGCUAAUAAACAUGCAUUGCAAAUUCAACUAUACUAUGACGAUUUUGAAACAGCCAAUCCCCUUGGCUCCAAAUGUGGAAUACACAAAAUUGGCUGUAUUUAUUUUGUUGUAAGAAAUUUGCCCCCAAAAUUUAAUUCGGUUUUGAUGAACAUUCAUUUGGUAUCACUUUUUCACACACAAGAUCUGCGCAAGUAUGGUUUUGAUGUUAUACUAGAACCGUUGAUAAAUGAUGUGAAAAAACUAGAAAGCCAAGGGCUAAGUCUUCCAUUUGUAGAUGAGCAGGUAUAUGGUACAAUCUGUCAGAUUACUGGAGAUAAUCUAGGGAUGCACACAAUUCUUGGUUUUAAUGAGUCAUUUAGUAGCCGUCAUUUCUGUUGCCUUUGUUUGAUUGAGAAGAAUGAUUGUCAAACGGUAUACAGUGAGGAUGAUCCUAAAGUGAUCCUUCGUGGAAAAGAUAUGUUUGAUAUGCAUUGCCAGUCUCUCCAGGAAAACCCACAAUUUAAGUCACUUUAUGGUUUGAAAAAAAGAUCUGCACUUAAUUCAUUGAAUUAUUUCCAUGUUUGCAAUAACUAUUCAUUUGAUAUCAUGCAUGAUCUUCUUGAGGGUGUGGUUCAGUAUGAGAUCAAAUUGCUUUUUGGAUAUCUCACACAACACUUUAUGGAUUUUUAGAACGAAAAAAUCGUCCUACAAAGAUUAUUUUGGAGUGCUGGCAAUGGCAUUGGUUUGAAUUCUAUUCAGACAUUGUGUCUUGUGAAAAACAUCCCACUGUUGUUUGGUGAAAUUAUUCCUGCAGGAAACAAAAACUGGAAUUUGUUACUGUUGUUACUUCAAAUAAUGAACAGUUGUUUCACCUUCUCUCACUCUAGGUAUGACUAUAUUUAAAGCAUUUGAUUGUUGACCACCACAAACUCUUUAAGCACUUGUAUCCACAUAGAAACUUGAUACCUAAGCAUCAUUUUAUGAUCCAUUACCCAUCUUCUAUAAGGAAAAUUGGCCCCUCAUUAUAUACGUGGUGUAUGAGGUUUGAGGCCAAACACAAGCUGUUUAAAGAUUCUUUAAAAAAUUUCAAAAACAUAACCAAAUCGCUUGCUAUAAAGCAUCAGAUGGCCAUUGCUUAUCACUGGGAAACCUUCACCCUCAAAAAUGAGUAUGGGCCCAUUAAAUCUUUUCUCUUCAGAGAUGAGAAUGUGGUCAACAAUGAAAUGCUUGAAACAAUCUUGUCAAAAGAUGUUUUCUCAACUAGUUGGGUUAAAGUUGAUGGUGUAGAGUAUAAAGCUGGACUAGUUAUUUGCAGUGCAAUGGAAGAAGACAUGCCAGUCUUUUGUCAAAUAAGUGAUGUACUUUUGGUUGAAGAUCACUUAUUUUUUUUGACAAACAAGCUAUUUACAGAGAAUUUUGAUGACCAUCAUCAUGCAUUCAGAGUAUUACGAAGUGCGGAAAGAUGUUUACUAAAAAUGUCUGAGCUUAAAUUUCAUAAACCGUUUGAUAUUCAAAGCUCAUACAAUGUUUCGGAUGAAAGUUUGUACAUUAUACCUUCAUUCACAAUGUUUUAAUUCAACUGACUGCAAGGGAGAAAAGGAAUAAAUGUUUUUGUUUAUUGUGAUGAAUUCUUAUUAA
ensembl:lncRNA